rnacentral:rRNA from 1 species
GACGAACGCUUGCGGCGUGCUUAACACAUGCAAGUCGAACGGAAAGGCCCUGCUUUUGUGGGGUGCUCGAGUGGCGAACGGGUGAGUAACACGUGAGUAACCUGCCCUUGACUUUGGGAUAACUUCAGGAAACUGGGGCUAAUACCGGAUAGGAGCUCCUGCUGCAUGGUGGGGGUUGGAAAGUUUCGGCGGUUGGGGAUGGACUCGCGGCUUAUCAGCUUGUUGGUGGGGUAGUGGCUUACCAAGGCUUUGACGGGUAGCCGGCCUGAGAGGGUGACCGGCCACAUUGGGACUGAGAUACGGCCCAGACUCCUACGGGAGGCAGCAGUGGGGAAUAUUGCACAAUGGGCGGAAGCCUGAUGCAGCAACGCCGCGUGCGGGAGGACGGCCUUCGGGUUGUAAACCGCUUUCGCCUGUGACGAAGCGUGAGUGACGGUAAUGGGUAAAGAAGCACCGGCUAACUACGUGCCAGCAGCCGCGGUGAUACGUAGGGUGCGAGCGUUGUCCGGAUUUAUUGGGCGUAAAGGGCUCGUAGGUGGUUGAUCGCGUCGGAAGUGUAAUCUUGGGGCUUAACCCUGAGCGUGCUUUCGAUACGGGUUGACUUGAGGAAGGUAGGGGAGAAUGGAAUUCCUGGUGGAGCGGUGGAAUGCGCAGAUAUCAGGAGGAACACCAGUGGCGAAGGCGGUUCUCUGGGCCUUUCCUGACGCUGAGGAGCGAAAGCGUGGGGAGCGAACAGGCUUAGAUACCCUGGUAGUCCACGCUGUAAACGGUGGGUACUAGGUGUGGGGUCCAUUCCACGGGUUCCGUGCCGUAGCUAACGCUUUAAGUACCCCGCCUGGGGAGUACGGCCGCAAGGCUAAAACUCAAAGGAAUUGACGGGGCCCCGCACAAGCGGCGGAGCAUGCGGAUUAAUUCGAUGCAACGCGUAGAACCUUACCUGGGUUUGACAUGGAUCGGGAGUGCUCAGAGAUGGGUGUGCCUCUUUUGGGGUCGGUUCACAGGUGGUGCAUGGCUGUCGUCAGCUCGUGUCGUGAGAUGUUGGGUUAAGUCCCGCAACGAGCGCAACCCUUGUUCACUGUUGCCAGCACGUUAUGGUGGGGACUCAGUGGAGACCGCCUGGGUCAACUCGGAGGAAGGUGGGGAUGACGUCAAGUCAUCAUGCCCCUUAUGUCCAGGGCUUCACGCAUGCUACAAUGGCUGGUACAGAGAGUGGCGAGCCUGUGAGGGUGAGCGAAUCUCGGAAAGCCGGUCUCAGUUCGGAUUGGGGUCUGCAACUCGACCUCAUGAAGUCGGAGUCGCUAGUAAUCGCAGAUCAGCAACGCUGCGGUGAAUACGUUCCCGGG